UACGAAGGGGGGCUAGCGUUGCUCGGAAUCACUGGGCGUAAAGGGCGCGUAGGCGGAUCUUUUAAGUCGGGGGUGAAAGCCCAGGGCUCAACCCUGGAAUUGCCUUCGAUACUGAAGAUCUCGAGACCGGAAGAGGUAAGUGGAACUGCGAGUGUAGAGGUGAAAUUCGUAGAUAUUUCGCAAGAACACCAGUGGCGAAAGGCGGCUUACUGGUCCGGUUCUGACGCUGAGGCGCGAAAGCGUGGGGAGCAAACAGGGAUUAAGAAACCCGGGUGAGUCCCAAG
rnacentral:rRNA from 1 species